UACGUAGGUGGCAAGCGUUAUCCGGAUUUACUGGGUGUAAAGGGCGUGUAGGCGGGGACGCAAGUCAGAUGUGAGAACCACGGGCUCAACCUGUGGCCUGCAUUUGAAACUGUGUUUCUUGAGUACUGGAGAGGCAGACGGAAUUCCUAGUGUAGCGGUGAAAUGCGUAGAUAUAUGGAGGAACACCGGUGGCGAAAGCGGCUCUCUGGCCUGUAACUGACACUGAGGCUCGAAAGCGUGGGGAGCAAACAGG
rnacentral:rRNA from 1 species